GGGCCUAUAGCUCAGCGGUAGAGCCCCCGGCUCAUAACCGGUUGGUCCUUGGUUCGAAUCCAAGUAGGCCCA
rnacentral:tRNA from 1 species